CCCCUAGAUGUUCUGGGCCGCACGCGCGCUACACUGAACAGUUCAACAAGUCUUAACCUUGGCCGAUAGGUCUGGGUAAUCUUUGAACGCUGUUCGUGAUUGGGAUAGACCUUUGCAAUUAUGGGUCUUCAACGAGGAAUUCCUAGUAAACGCAAGUCAUCAGCUUGCAUUGAUUACGUCCCUGCCCUUUGUACACACCGCCCGUCGCACCUACCGAUUGCAUGGUCCGGUGAAAUCUCGGGACGGCGGCUUGGUCGCUUGCGUCCGACUGCUGAAACUUGAUUAAACCAUAUCAUUUAGAGGAAGGUGAANUCGUAACA
rnacentral:rRNA from 1 species